rnacentral:rRNA from 1 species
GACGAACGCUGGCGGCGUGCUUAACACAUGCAAGUCGAACGGUGAAGGAGAGCUUGCUCUCCGGAUCAGUGGCGAACGGGUGAGUAACACGUGGGCAACCUGCCCCAGACUUCGGGAUAAUGCUUCGAAAGAGGUGCUAAUACCGGAUACGCACUCCUUUGGCAUCCUUGGAGUUGGAACGUUUUUCGGUCUGGGAUAGGCCCGCGGCCUAUCAGCUUGUUGGUGAGGUAACGGCGCAGCAAGGCGACGACGGGUAGCCGGCCGGAGAGGGCGACCGGCCAAACUGGGACUGAGACACGGCCCAGACUCCUACGGGAGGCAGCAGUGGGGAAUAUUGCGCAAUGGGCGAAAGCCUGACGCAGCAACGCCGCGUGGGGGAUGACGGCCUUCGGGUUGUAAACCUCUUUCAGCAGGGAAGAAGCGAAAGUGACGGUACCUGCAGAAGAAGCACCGGCUAACUACGUGCCAGCAGCCGCCGUAA